GUGUCUGAGCCUGGACGCAGUUGCUGUUCAAAUUUAUAAUUGGUGUCCCCAUUCGACUGUGUGAUAUUCAUACCGCUAAACUACGACCCAGCAGUGCUAAUCCAUUAUGGAUGGUGCGGAUGCUGCAGAAGCUGCGGAAGAGGCUGCUUUAAGGAGGAGCUCACGUCUGGGCCGGACUCCAUCUCGUUUGGCGGCUCCACGAACUUUCCGCAACUCAAUAAGGCACCAGCGUCAACGCGACUGGCCGAUUGCCCGGAACUGGCAGUGGAAGUAGUUUCUCCAAUGUCGAAUAUCCCAGAGCUCGACGAACUGGGUAAACUGGGGAUCUAAGGUGCACGCAAUAAUGUGCUUCAGCGAUGAUCAAAGAAUUGUGAAAAAAUAUCACAGGGUUUUCCAGUUACAUUAAUUUUUAGAAGCCAACGUUGAGUUUUCCGAACGA